rnacentral:lncRNA from 1 species
UGAUUCCUUUAAGCUUGAGUUCUUGAAGUUUACAUAAUCCUCUUAAAGCUCUUUCCUUUGAUUCAAAUCUCCCUACGACUUCACCUACAGUCCAAAAUAUGGACUAGAGAGUUCAAGAGACACAUGUAAAUAUUUAUUAUUGAAUUAGAAAUCAAUAGAAUCUUGUUCUUUCUAGGUGUUUGGAUUACCAUGAAAGCACCUCAUAAAGCUUGGUUUGGGGGAAGAAUGAAAAAUAGAUUUUGGUGGGUGAGGUAGAUAUUCUGUCGAUUAGAGAGAGGAAGGAGGAGUUCCGGAUUUUUGUCAAAAUAGCUAACAUAAUACCCAAGACAGAUUAC